UUUAUAUUUUAAAAAUGCAUAGAACAUAAAGCUUAAAAAUUGAUCUUCAUGUUACAUGUAUAAAUAGGCCUGUGUACAUAUGUAAACAUAUAUUUAAAAAAAUAUAACCUAUUCAUGAAUCAUGUUAUGUAUAGUUUUUAACAAGAGACAAUAUUGUGAAACAACGAAUGUGAAAUGACUAUGAGUGUACACAAAGCAACACGCGCACACACGCGCACACACACACACACACACACACACACACACACACACACACACACACACACACACACACACACAGAUGCCUGGAUGCUAUAUGCACACAAUUACAUAUUUAUCAAAACCAGCAAGUACACACAUAAUUCACCCACUCGACCAACAAAAAGAAUCAAAAUGUUUUUUCAGACUACAUCCUAUCUUACAUUUUUUCAUUCUGAUUGUCAUUGCUCAUUGUUUCAGUAUAUGUGUUAUAAUCAAAAUCUUCAACGCUAGUUCACAUACUGUGUUUGAACUCUAUCUCAUAAUACUGUAUGGUUACAAUUUUUUUGUUGUUGUUGCUUCCGUCCUGUGCUCAUUGUAGUGGACAUGAAAAAAAUCUAAUAUAUUGUAUUAUUAUUAUUUUUUUAUUAUUAUUAUUUUUUACAGUUAAAGAGAAUCUGAAAGCACAAAAAAACUGGCUUUAUAUAUAUAUAUAUAACAAAAGUAAAGUGUUGGUAUAAAAAUACUCCAAGCACGUUUUCAAAAAAUAUAAAAGUUCUUUUAAAGUUUCACUUUCCCAAUUUGCACGAAUGGGUCGAUAGAACUACAAAAUGCAUUUUAAAUUCAUGAUUUAAUAAUUCUGUAAUUAUUUUAAAUGAUGUAUUGUUUUAAUUAUAGAUGUAUUUAUUUACAUAAUGUUAUAAUUCUGCAUGUUUAUGUUUGUAUGCUGCGUGACUGCGGCGUGUUUUAAUGCGCGUGCGCGUUGAACGUUCGAAUCGCUUUCAAACGCUGGAGCGGAUCUGAGUUGCCAUGGAAACGGGGAAACGUCAGGCAGCAGGACUCCGUCUCGCUGUUGUUUUCACGGAUUUUAGGGGAGACAGAAAACCCCCUCUACAACAAAGGAGAAGCUGACAGAGGAGGAGGAAACACAGAUCCUUCCAUGCUGAUGGCCUCCUGCACCCCAGCAGAGCUGAGUUACCUCCUGUCAAAGGCCAUGAACCAGAUGACUAUAUGAGACUGUCCUUGAAAGGCCUGUAGGCUAAAUAAUCAGCUAAAUGAGGUCUGUUUUGAGUUAUGUUUUCAAGUGAAGAGACGCCAUACUGUUCCACUCAAAGGGGGUCGACAACUUUAGGCAUAUGAGAUGUAAUCUCUAGCGUUUGGAGCUGUGAUUCUUCAGGACAAGAUGCCAUUCACACUUGAUACAUGAAGAUGCACAUCACUGACAGGCUUUCCUGUGUAUCACUGAUUCAAGUUUUCCACUAUUGUAUUUAUCCAAAUGAGGUUCUCAGGGAUCCCCAGUUGAAGGCAUCAGGACAUCAGAUGUUGGCCUGGACAUAUGUACCAACAGUACACCACAAAGACCUCUGCUUUUAAAUGGAUGGCUGAUUACUACCAUGUUCUGUGCGGGUAUUAUUAUAGCAAAACUGAGCACCUGUGACAGUGGGAUUUCUAAUUUUAAAGAAUAGUCAUACAUCAGUAAAUUAUUUUUUUAUUUAAAAAUUUGAAAGGAUUUUUAAAAGUUGCAAACUUUUUUCUCCAGUUACAAAAACAGCUACACCUUUUCAAUUUCUUCAUUGGGGGUGCACAAAUCCUAUUUCACAAAUUAAGAAAUUGAUAUGCUCACAUUUAAGCCGUGUUCUUUGGACACUGUAACAGUCCUGAUAUGAUGUCACACUUUGCAGUAUCUUUUUUAUUAACAUGAAUUCAAAUUUUAACAAAUAUAUUCAAAAUGUAAAGAUAUACAAUCUGACAAUCUGAUCUUGUCAUUAUUAAUCAAUCAGUAAUCAACACUGCACCACCCCGAAAUUACCAUGCACUGUAGAAGUAUGGUUUUGGCAAGAAAUGAACAGUAGCUAAAUAUUUAUUAUAAAUGCUACUAUUUGACAUUCAGUAUUUUAGUCUAUAUUAAAGGGAUACAAGUCUCUUUUAUGUAUGAUGUUUUUUUUUUAUUACAAACUGUUUUUUGUUUGUUUGUUUGUUUUGUAGCUAGCACUUAAUAUUUCUUUAAUGUUACCACAUGAGAAUAGCCAAACAGUGUAGGUGAUUCACAAAAUCAUACACAAAGAAAUGUGUAUGGAAGUAAUUUAAUGCCAAAUGUUUUUGAAAUAAAAAGCUUGUUGAAUUGCACUAAUUGAAAAAAAAAACAUGCAUCACAUUAGCUGUGCUUGCAUU